CAAAAAAAUGCUAACAUUCCAAUUUUCAAUAACAGUUAACAGGAAAUACAUUAUCACAAUAACAGAUAACAAAAAAACUAAAAGCCCAAUAACAGCUAACAAAGAAUAAGACAAUAACAGCUAACAGCAAAUAUAUUUUCAAAAUAACAGAUAACAAAGAAUUAAAUUGCCCCAUAACAGCAUAACAGUUAAACCCCUUGCCCCCCCUCUGUUAAC
rnacentral:lncRNA from 1 species